GCCAGGUUUGGUAGCAUAUACCUGUAAUCCCAGCUACUUUGGAGGCUGAGGUGGGAGGACUGCUUGAGCCCAGGAGUUCAAGACCCACCUGGGCCACAUAGUGAGAUCCUAUGACAA
rnacentral:sRNA from 1 species